GAUGAAGAACGUAGCGAAAUGCGAUAAGUAAUGUGAAUUGCAGAAUUCAGUGAAUCAUCGAAUCUUUGAACGCACAUUGCGCCCCCUGGUAUUCCGGGGAGCAUGCCUGUUCGAGCGUCAUUUCACCACUCAAGCCUCGCUUGGUAUUGGGCAACGCGGUCCGCCGCGUGCCUCAAAUCGACCGGCUGGGUCUUCUGUCCCCUAAGCGUUGUGGAAACUAUUCGCUAAAGGGUGUUCGGGAGGCUACGCCGUAAAACAACCCCAUUUCUAAGGUUGACCUCGGAUCAGGUAGGGAUACCCGCUGAACUUAAGCAUAUCAAUAAGCGGAGGA
rnacentral:misc_RNA from 1 species